GUGGGGAAUCUUGCGCAAUGGGCGAAAGCCUGACGCAGCCAUGCCGCGUGAAUGAUGAAGGUCUUAGGAUUGUAAAAUUCUUUCACCGGGGACGAUAAUGACGGUACCCGGAGAAGAAGCCCCGGCUAACUUCGUGCCAGCAGCCGCGGUAAUACGAAGGGGGCUAGCGUUGCUCGGAAUUACUGGGCGUAAAGGGCGCGUAGGCGGAUCGUUAAGUCAGGGGUGAAAUCCCAGAGCUCAACUCUGGAACUGCCCUUGAUACUGGAGAUCUUGAGUGUGAGAGAGGUAUGUGGAACUCCGAGUGUAGAGGUGAAAUUCGUAGAUAUUCGGAAGAACACCAGUGGCGAAGGCGACAUACUGGCUCAUUACUGACGCUGAGGCGCGAAAGCGUGGGGAGCAAACAGGAUUAGAAACCCGUGUAGUCC
rnacentral:rRNA from 1 species